AAUUGAUUUGAAAGUUUUUUUCCAGUUUCAAAUUUUUAUUUUUACAGUGGAAACACUCAAAACAAAAUUAGUAAAGUAGUCAAACAACUUCAGCCUUUCAUAUUUUUUGGCAACACCGACAGAUAGAAAUAAUGUAUCUGGCAGCCCAUCAGUGUCAGUGACAGCUGCAAACAAAGAAAAUAUCCAACAUCACCAGAGUUUUGUUAUUUUUCUGAUCAGGGAAGGAAUUGUGAUUGUCGCGGAAAGUAUCCAUAUGGCUAUAAAAACUGCGACAUCUUCAUCUACAGUCCCAUCCGUUCUUCUUGUUAGUGCUGCAGCAGUUGCACAAACGGCUCCUGUGAGAGCUGUUCCAGCAGAUUGCGAGGAAGCUGAUGAACGCCCUGCCCAAAGGAAACGCACAAGAAACCGCUCAGCAUAACUUCUCGAGAACCGUGACCCAACCUUUAUGUAUCCGUUGUUGAGAUAAAAGUAACAAGGCGGCCUUUACUUCCAUCUGGCUUCAAGGAUGUACAUUGGCGUGAAUGGAUAGAAGAGCUAAAGUGACAAAUGGUGACCCCGAUCGAUUGUUUUCUUAUCAGUCGGUUGUUACGCCAGACCCUACCAGGUCCAACCAAGCAGGAAGCCACCACGCCGAACGCAUUGAUGAACACUUUUCGAUGAUGAUUCUAGCGGGGCGGUUCCGUCGAGGAGUAUCAUCAAGUAUUCUGUAUUCAUUUCAACACCAUACUAAAAUGCACCAUACUAAGCGCAGGAAGAGGAGGAACGAAAAGGAGUCAGCCGUAAUCCACCUCUGAAGCAGCCACUGUUGCAUGGAAAUGUGGCUUUACCGGUAACGUCCGCUAUACGGAGGCGAACCGCAUAAUCAGCAACUAUCACGACAAUAGUAUCGUAUGUAUCGGCGGCAAUAUGUAUGCACUACAUCAAACGACGGACGGGAUGGUCAGAAUCAUCAACAUCAGAAACAACAAAUUCAAUCUACUUGAACCGAGGCGAUGUAGAAGCUGAGAAAAAAUCGGUGUUUCUGAUUGCGGAUCUGGGUUCGUAAACUUGCGGUGAGGUUAAGUUGCUUCCAAUGACAAUACUUCAGAGCAGAGCGAUAGCACGAAACGAAAAUCUCCGGCAUUUUAUGAUAAAAUUAAUUAAGAACACGUGAAUAAAUUAUAAUGAUUAAAUUUCGAA